rnacentral:rRNA from 1 species
UAAACUCCUGUUGUUGAGGAAGAUAAUGACGGUACUCAACAAGGAAGUGACGGCUAACUACGUGCCAGCAGCCGCGGUAAAACGUAGGUCACAAGCGUUGUCCGGAAUUACUGGGUGUAAAGGGAGCGCAGGCGGGAAGACAAGUUGGAAGUGAAAUCCAUGGGCUCAACCCAUGAACUGCUUUCAAAACUGUUUUUCUUGAGUAGUGCAGAGGUAGGCGGAAUUCCCGGUGUAGCGGUGGAAUGCGUAGAUAUCGGGAGGAACACCAGUGGCGAAGGCGGCCUACUGGGCACCAACUGACGCUGAGGCUCGAAAGUGUGGGUAGCAAACAGGAUUAGAUACCCUGGUAGUCCACACCGUAAACGAUGAUUACUAGGUGUUGGAGGAUUGACCCCUUCAGUGCCGCAGUUAACACAAUAAGUAAUCCACCUGGGGAGUACGACCGCAAGGUUGAAACUCAAAGGAAUUGACGGGGGCCCGCACAAGCAGUGGAGUAUGUGGUUUAAUUCGACGCAACGCGAAGAACCUUACCAAGUCUUGACAUCCUGCGACGGACAUGGAAACAUGUUUUUCCUUCGGAACGCAGAGACAGGUGGUGCAUGGUUGUCGUCAGCUCGUGUCGUGAGAUGUUGGGUUAAGUCCCGCAACGAGCGCAACCCUUAUGGUCAGUUACUACGCAAGAGGACUCUGGCCAGACUGCCGUUGACAAA